rnacentral:tRNA from 1 species
AAAAGGUUAGUUAACAAAUAACAUUGGUAUGUCAAACCAAAAUAGCUCACUAAACAAGCACCUUUUU